rnacentral:rRNA from 1 species
UGAAUACGAGAUGCUACGGCAUUGAAGCAGUCUAUGUCAGACUUCCAAGAAAAGCUCGGAAUGUCAUAAACAAUAAAUGCCUGUACCAUAACCGACACAGGUGGGUAGGUAGAGUAUACUAAGGGGCGCGAGAUAACUCUCUCUAAGGAACUCGGCAAAAUGACUCCGUAACUUCGGGAGAAGGAGUGCCUUAUUUAUAAGGUUGCAAUAACAAGAUCCAAGCAACUGUUUAUCAAAAACACAGGUCUCCGCGAAGUCGUAAGACGAUGUAUGGGGGCUGACGCCUGCCCAGUGCCAGAAGGUUAAAGAAGUUGGUUAGCCUAGCGAAGCUGAUGACUGAAGCCCUGGUGAACGGCGGCCGUAACAAUAACGGUCCUAAGGUAGCGAAAAUCCUUGUCGGGUAAGUUCCGACCCGCACGAAAGGCGUAAUGAUUUGGAUGCUGUCUCGGAGAGGGGCUCGGUGAAAUAGACUUGUCUGUGAAGAUGCGGACUACCUGCACCUGGACAGAAAGACCCUAUGAAGCUUUACUGUAACUUGAGAUUGAAAUUGGACUUUAUUUGCGCAGUAUAGGUGGGAGACGUUGAGAAUAGUCUUGCGGGACUAUUGGAGUCAUCAGUGAGAUACCACUCUUGUAAUGUUAGAUUUCUAACUUUGUAUCAUUAUCUGGUCAAAGGACAGUUUCAGGCGGGCAGUUUGACUGGGGCGGUCGCCUCCUAAAGGGUAACGGAGGCGCACAAAGGUUUCCUCUGAACGUGUAGAAAUCGUAUCUAGAGUGUAAAGGCAUAAGGAAGCUUGACUGUGAGACCUACAAGUCGAGCAGGGACGAAAGUCGGUCUUAGUGAUCUGACGGUGCUGAGUGGAAAGGCCGUCACUCAACGGAUAAAAGUUACCCUAAGGAUAACAGGCUGAUCUCCCCCAAGAGUUCACAUCGACGGGGAGGUUUGGCACCUCGAUGUCGGCUCAUCGCAUCCUGGGGCGGUAGUACGUCCCAAGGGUUGGGCUGUUCGCCCAUGAAAGCGGUACGCGAGCUGGGUUCAGAACGUCGUGAGACAGUUCGGUCCAUAUCCGGUGUAGGCGUUAGAAUAUUGAGAGGAGCCUUCUUUAGUACGAGAGGACCGAGAAGGACAUACCUCUGGUGUACCAGUUAUCCUGCCAAGGGUAAACGCUGGGUAGCUAUGUAUGGAGUGGAUAACCGCUGAAAGCAUCUAAGUGGGAAGCCCACCUCAAGAUAAGUAUUCCC